rnacentral:piRNA from 1 species
UUCUCCGAAAUUCAGAAAUAA